rnacentral:rRNA from 1 species
GACGAACGCUGGCGGCGUGCUUAACACAUGCAAGUCGAGCGGAGCGGCGCACGGGUGAGUAACGCGUGAGUAACUGCCCCCCUCUCUGGGAUAACAGUUGGAAACGGCUGCUAAUACCGGAUAGUGGGGGAUGACUCGCGUCCUAUCAGCUUGUUGGUGGGGUAGUGGCCUACCAAGGCGACGACGGGUAGCCUGCCUGAGAGGGCGACCGGCCACAUUGGGCGGGAAGACGGCCCCAAACCCUACGGGAGGCAGAAGUGGGGAAUAUUGGCCCAUGGGGGAAACCCUGAUGCAGCAACGCCGCCUGCGGGGUGACGGACUUCGGGUUGUAAACCGCUUUCAGCCAUGACGCGGUAGUGGCAGAAGAAGCACCGGCUAACUACGUGCCAGCAGCCGCGGUAAUUC